rnacentral:sRNA from 1 species
ACAACAACAAUAACAAGCAGACCCACAAUAAGAACAAGACGUACCGGCUCUAGCAAAAUAAAUACAAGAAGGCAGAGGCGUAGCUAACUGAUUCUUUUGGAGAGGAAAUGCCAAAUGGGGUUUUGCCCCACGACCAGGCCGAGAACAACAAAAACUGCCUAAGCAGUGCCUGAACUGGUUGGAUCGAUGAUCGAUGGCAAGUCAGCGACCAAAGAAAUCCGUUUGCUCUUUGCUCCCAACGUAGGAGCGAUUCCCGGACGCGAAAGCCGAAGGGAACGGGUGAUCAAACAAAAACAACACGCCCGAAAUACUAAUAACAACAAAGCACGCGACAUCAUUUAAGGGGGGAGCUUCGGCUCCCCCUAGUGCUUUCUGGCUUCGGCCGUUGUUUUGACA